GACGAACGCUGGCGGCGUGCUUAACACACGCAAGUCGAACGGACCUUCGGGUUAGUGGCGAACGGGUGAGUAACACGUGGGUGAUCUGCCCUGCACUUUGGGAUAAGCCUGGGAAACUGGGUCUAAUACCGGAUAGGACCACGCAUUUUAUGGUGUGUGGUGGAAAGCUUUUGCGGUGUGGGAUGGGCCCGCGGCCUAUCAGCUUGUUGGUGGGGUAAUGGCCUACCAAGGCGACGACGGGUAGCCGGCCUGAGAGGGUGACCGGCCACACUGGGACUGAGAUACGGCCCAGACUCCUACGGGAGGCAGCAGUGGGGAAUAUUGCACAAUGGGCGCAAGCCUGAUGCAGCGACGCCGCGUGAGGGAUGACGGCCUUCGGGUUGUAAACCUCUUUCGCCAGGGACGAAGCGCAAGUGACGGUACCUGGAGAAGAAGGACCGGCCAACUACGUGCCAGCCGCCGCAGUAAGAC
rnacentral:rRNA from 1 species